CCUACGGGUGGCUGUAGUGAGGAAUAUUGGUCAAUGGGCGCGAGCCUGAACCAGCCAAGUAGCGUGAGGGAUGACUGCCCUACGGGUUGUAAACUUCUUUUAUAAAGUAAUAAAGUGAGGCACGUGUGCCUUUUUGUGUGUACUUUAUGAAUAAGGAUCGGCUAACUCCGUGCCAGCAGCCGCGGUAAUACGGAGGAUCCGAGCGUUAUCCGGAUUUAUUGGGUUUAAAGGGAGCGUAGAUGGGGUGUUAAGUCAGUGGUGAAAGUUUGCGGCUCAAACGUGAAAUUGCAAUUGAUACUGGCAGUCUUGAGUACAGUUGAGGUAGGCGGAAUGCGUGGUGUAGCGGUGAAAUGCUUAGAUAUCACGAAGAACUCCGAUUGCGAAGGCAGCUUACCAAACUGCCACUGACAUUGAUGCUCGAAAGUGUGGGUAUCAAACAGGAUUAGAUACCCGGGUAGUC
rnacentral:rRNA from 1 species